UUUACCAAUUAUAACUCAAUAAAGUUCUCACUUUAUGAAUUACAACCUCAAACUUUCGAUUUUGUGAAUUACAACAUCAAACUUAAUCUCAUACUUUAAAUUACUACCCGAUAUUAUAUUCCGACGAAAACAAUCGGAUUAUGAUGUCAUAAAUAUAUUUGAAACUUAAUUAAAUAAUUUCCAAAAAAAACUCAUUAAUCAUAAAUUAAGAAAAAAUACGGAGUAUCCAAUUACCUUUUCCAUUCAUGAUUCAUCCCACUUUUCGUUACAACCUCCUCUAUCUUCUACUCCCCUCCCUCCUCCAUUUAAACUUUGCUCCUCAAUAACUCAUCUCAGCUACCAAACUUUCAAGCUUCAAAUAUGAGAUUAUUAGUUUGAUUCUUUCAUAAUUUGACUCGCUCGAUUCUCUUUCUGUGUGCUCUCUCUGUAUUCUGUGAACAUCGGGCGCCAUAAAAGGUUGAAUGUUGGAAGCUUCAACUAUGGUGACAUGGAAAGGUACAAUGCAAGUUCUGCUGCCAAUUAGCAACUGAUACUAUUUAUGUGCCUGAUGCAGAAAAUACGAGCUUGGGAUGAUGCUUGUUGUUUUUGCCUUGAUGAUGAUGAUGAUGAUGAUGCAGUAGUGAUGAUGUAGAUGUAGUGGUUAAGAUGUAGUAGUGUUUUUGCCUUGAUGCAGAUAAUGCAGAUGUUAGGUGUUGAUGAUGAUGAUGAUGAUGAUGUUAGGCUUAAGGUAGUGUUUAGGUUGUAAUUAGGGGUAUGAUCAAGAUGUUGUACUAGCAUUUGGUUGGAUUUUGGCUUAAACUAGUGUAGUAGGUUGUAAUUUAGGUUACGUUGAUAUGGUUUAUGGUUCUUAGUGAUCACGUAAACUCGAGUUAUAUUGACAGUAUUUUGACAGGUUUUAAGUUGAAUUACAAGUGAAUGAAAUGAAAUAUAAUAAUUCUUAGUAAAA